rnacentral:lncRNA from 1 species
UGUUAAUACACGAUACCCAAAUUUACACACUCUACUUCCUUAUAUAUAUUUGACCAGUAUUCUAUUCUCAUCAUCACAACUAUCCAUCACUGAUAUUGAUCUCCUUACCAUCUUCUCCAUUCAUUGAGGAUUCUAUUUUAAAUUUUUCUGGAUGACUUGAUGCCGUUGACACUAGCUAAUCACCCUAAGGGAUUCUGCAUUCCAUUUUUUGGUACUAUCUCAUCCACUCUGUUAAUUAUUUGCCGCACGGAUGGGCAUAGGACGAAUAUCUGCUCUGAAUUUACAAAUGCCAAGUUGCAGUAAUUGAAAUAUUUAUUCCCCACUGCUGAUUUAUUAGUAUUGAGUUAGGAUGUUCCCAUUUGAUAUCGAAACCCCUUUUAGUUCAUAGGAAGUAAAAGGGGUCCUCAAAAAAUAUAUUCUUAUUUAGAAUAAUAGUAUUUAUACUGAAUAUAUUUGAGAAUUCGUAAGGGAAAUCUAAAUAUAUUGGUAUCAAAUGUUCAUCAAUAUUUGAUCCUGUUCCUUUAUGGAAUGGAUGAAAAUGAUAACUUUCUAGUCGAUAUAAAAAAAAAUGUUAUACAUUUCCUAUAUAUAAAAAAAAAACCUUUUACCCUCUCUUGGGAGAUAUUAAUAUAUAUUCAACAUCUAAUGACCUAAAAAUAUGAUAUAAUACAAGCUUUUAUUUUCAGGUGUGCUGGUACCUUUAUAAAUAUGUGUGUAUAAUAAAUCUUAUGCUGUAUCAUCUAUA